rnacentral:rRNA from 1 species
CAGCGAAACCACAGCCAAGGGAACGGGCUUGGAAUAAUUAGCGGGGAAAGAAGACCCUAUUGAGCUUGACUCUAGUCUGGCAGUGUAAGGAGACAUAAGAGGUGUAGCAUAAGUGGGAGAUUAUAUAAUACAUUCGCGUGUUUAUAUAGUCAACAAUGAAAUACCACUACUCUUAUUGUUUCCUUACUUACUUGAUGAAGUGGAACGUGUAUCAUUUACUUAGCCAUUAUAUGGAUGUAUUUUAUUAUAUAUUUUAUGGUAUUUUGUUUUGGUGCAAGCUUCUUGAUCAAAGUACAAAGAGUUUGUUAUACACACCAAACAAAUUGAAAUGAAAUUUUGUGUGUGCUAAACAAUUUAUUGUUGGGCACAUUCAAUGAAAGUAAUUGAAUUUGGUAUGACUCUUACACUCAGGUAUGAUCCAAUUCAAGGACAUUGCCAGGUGGGGAGCUUGACUGGGGCGGUACAUCUCUCAAAUAAUAACGGAGGUGUCCCAAGGCCAGCUCAGUGCGGACAGAAACCACACAUAGAGCAAAAGGGCAAAUGCUGACUUGAUCUCGGAGUUCAGUACACUCAGGGACAGCAAAAGCUCGGCCUAUCGAUCCUUUUGGUUUAAGGAGUUUUUAACAAGAGGUGUCAGAAAAGUUACCAUAGGGAUAACUGGCUUGUGGCGGCCAAGCGUUCAUAGCGACGUUGCCUUUUUGAUCCUUCGAUGUCGGCUCUUCCUAUCAUUGUGAAGCAAAAUUCACCAAGCGUUGGAUUGUUCACCCAUGCAAGGUAACGUGAGCUGGGUUUAGACCGUCGUGAGACAGGUUAGUUUUACCCUACUGAUGACAUAAGUUAUUGCGACAGCAUUCCUGCGUAGUACGAGAGGAACCGCAGGUACGGACCAAUGGCACAAUACUUGUUCGAGCGAACAGUGGUAUGACGCUACGUCCGUUGGAUUAUGCCUGAACGCCUCUAAGGUCGUAUCCGUGCUGGACUGCAAUAAUAGUAAUGGGGCGAUUGCGUUGUAAGGCAACAAACCAUUUAAAAGCAUGCAGUCUUGAACUGUAUGCGAAAAUGGCUAUCAUAUUGAUGCCGAUGUUUCAUAUAACAUAGCCAAUUCUGGUUGUACAUUAGCAUCCGGAAUGCUCGUGCUAGUUAUUUGUGAAAUAUUCUUAUUCAAUACGAUGACAAUGCCUAGAAUCAAUUGUAAACGACUUUGGUAACGGGCAAGGUGUUGUAA